rnacentral:lncRNA from 1 species
CCCUUUGCAUCCAUGUAAAUGUAAUUAAAAGAAAAUGCUACUUUAAUUAAUGGUCUAGGAAAUGACGAUGCUGUAUAACUAAAAUGAUUCCGCGAUAACUAACGUCGCUGCUCGCUCUAUUUGGAAAUAACAAUAGGUGGGACCAAAAUGGUUUUUAUCUUAUCUAAAAGAAGUAAUGGCCUAAUUUUGGAGUGGAGGAGACGUAUGCAUAGCUGAGAAAAAU